GGAAAUUUAGUUCAGUGGUUAGAACGCCCGGCUCAUAACCGGGAAGUCCUGAGUUCGAAUCUCAGAAUUUCCA
rnacentral:tRNA from 3 species